rnacentral:tmRNA from 1 species
GGGGCUGUCAUGGUUUCGACAGGUUUUCGUUUGAUUUGGACUGCAGUGGUGUGACUACCUUAAAGGUCAAACAAAAUUUAACUGGAAACAAUAACAGUUUACAAUUCGCUGCUUAAUUUAGCUUUCUAGCUUUGCAGCCUGGUAUUUAACGUUUUAGCCUUUGGGCAAUAGAUACCAACUAACCAACAAAGGAUAAGGUGAUGUAUCGCUCAGUGCAUCACACGAAAAUCAUCGGGCAACUCAAGGUUUUGAUUGGUCUGUUGUUCUGACCUUGAUGUAACACAAUAGACUAAACUGUAGACGUUCAAAUGUGGAACACUAUCUGGACGCGAGUUCGACUCUCGCCAGCUCCACCA